rnacentral:rRNA from 1 species
CCUGCCAGUAGUCAUAUGCUUGUUUUAAAGAUUAAGCCAUGCAUGUCUAAGUAUAAGUUAUACAACAGCGAAACCGCGCAAGGCUCAUUAAAUCAGUAACUGUUUAUUUGAUGGUGUUUUCACAUGGAUAACCGUAGUAAUUCUAGAGCUAAUACAUGCUAAAGUACCCAACUUUUGAGGAAGGGUAGAACAUAUUAGAUUUAAAUACCAAUAUACCCGGGUAACCGGGUAUUAAGAUGACUCUCAAUAUUUUAUCUGACCGCAUAGGCUCGCCCUGGCGGCGCUUCAUUCAAAUUUCUGCCCUAUCAACUUGAUGGUAGGCCUAUUAGGCUACCAUGGUCAUAACGGGUAACGGGGAAUUAGGGUUCGGUUCCGGAGAGGGCGCCUGAGAAAUGGCGACCACUUCCAAGGAAGGCAGCAGGCGCGCAAAUUGCCCAAUCCCAGUACGGGGAGGCAGUGACGACAAAUAACAAUACAGGGGUCUAACGACUCUUGUAAUUGGAAUGAGCACAAUUUAAAUCCCUUAGCAAGGAUCAAUUGGAGGACAAGUCUGGUGCCAGCACCCGCGGUAAUUCCAGCUCCAAUAGCGUAUAUUAAAGUUGUUGCAGUUAAAAAGCUCGUAGUUGGAUUUAAGGAUUCGGGAUAAUUGGUCUGCCGGGACGGUGGUACCAGUAUCCCAGUUCUCUCUCCUGGUUUUCAGCCUUCUGCUCUUAACUGAGUGGGGGGUCUGAUCCAGGUCGUUUACUUUGAAAAAAUUAGAGUGUUUAAAGCAGGCGUAAGCCUUGAAUACCUUAGCAUAGGAUAAUAGAAUACGGCUUUGUAUUUAUUUUGUUGGUUUUAGGAUGCAAGCAAUGAUUAAUAGAGAUAGUCGGGGAUGUCCAUAUUUCGUUGUUAGAGGUGAAAUUCUUGGAUCCACGAAAGAUGAACUAGUGCGAAAGCAUUCAUCAAGGAUGUUUUCAUUGAUCAAGAACGAAAGUUAAGGGAUCGAAGACGAUCAGAUACCGUCGUAGUCUUAACUAUAAACUAUGCCGACCAAGGAUCGCGAGACGUUACAUGGAUGACCCCCGCGGAACUUUAUGAGAAAUCACAAGUCUUUGGGUUCCGGGGGGAGUAUGGUCGCAAGGCUGAAACUUAAAGGAAUUGACGGAAGGGCACACCAGG